AGUGUCAGAUGCAAAGAUAUAUCUGUUUCUUUAUGUGUACAGUCGGUUCUGUGUGUGUUACAUUCUGAAUUUUUCUAUCAGUAUGCGUGGUCUAAAAUACACCAUACUUAUUAUAUAGUAGAUUGUGUUAAUAUCAAGUAUCUAGUAUUUCUGUACAAUUUAAAAUAUAUGGUACUUUUAUAUAUAAUUGAUUGAAUAUCUUGUCAUGAAAGAUCUAAAUUUUCGCAGUUUGAGUGCAGUAACUUAAAAUAUAGAGUAUAAUUUAAGAAAAAAGAGUACAAUCUAUCGUCAAUGCAGAGUGCAUGUAUGGAGAAGAAUUGAUUCAAUCAAAAGAACAUGAAACGAGAUUUUCUACUGAUGCCAUUGUCAUAAUGAGGCAAAGGAUGAUAUCAGGAUUGUUCCGAAACUUAGACAUGACAUUCCCCGUCAUUAAGUUAAAUAGGUGAUAUGUUCACUUUGUGGGACUGAACAAGAGAACUGGAGGAUCUGAAAAUUGCUUCCACUGCGACAAGUGUGGUUGUUGCCACUCAACUCUGCUGAAAAAUAGUCACACUUGUGUGGAGAAGGCAAUGCAUCAUGAUUGUCCUGUUUGUUUUGAGGUCAAAUUUUGUCUUUGUUAAUUUCGUAAUGUGCUCCUAUUGGUCUAUUAAAAGGGUUAAUAAUCAAAAUGGUCAAAUAACUUGGUGUAAUACACAUCUUUGAUCAAUAUUAACAAAAAUUAGCCCACAAAAAUUACUCAACAAUCCUCAAACAAAUUUAUUAUUUAUAAAUAAUUUUUUGUAGGGAGUGAAUUAUUUUAAUUAAAAAAUGCAUUUGAUCAUGUAGAUCGACAAUUGAUUUUUAUUAGGGUAAAAAUACUUGUUAUGUGAUAUGGUCAAGUGGAUUUUCUAAUUAAAUAUGAAUUUAAUCUUGUUAUAUAAAAUAUCAUUUUUGGUGUUAGACCCCAAACAAAAGCGAGAAAAAGGGGGAAAAGGAAAAAAAAAGGUUGAGAUAAAGGUAACAACAAAUUAAAUGUGAAGAAGAACGCAAGGUUAUAUAGAUAUAGGUAUCAAUCAUAUUAAGUAUACAUU